rnacentral:rRNA from 1 species
GAUCGGGAUAACUAUCGGAAACGAUAGCUAAGACCGGAUAACUGGUUUUCUCGCAUGGGAGAAUCAUGAAACACGGAGCAAUCUGUGGCUUAUAGAUGGGCCUGCGGCGCAUUAGCUAGUUGGUGAGGUAACGGCUCACCAAGGCGACGAUGCGUAGCCGACCUGAGAGGGUGAACGGCCACACUGGGACUGAGACACGGCCCAGACUCCUACGGGAGGCAGCAGUAGGGAAUCUUCCGCAAUGGACGCAAGUCUGACGGAGCAACGCCGCGUGAGUGAUGAAGGUUUUCGGAUCGUAAAGCUCUGUUGCCCUAGACGAACAGCAAGAGGAGUAACUGCCUUUUGUGUGACGGUAUAGGAGAAGAAAGCCCCGGCUAACUACGUGCCAGCAGCCGCGGUAAUACGUAGGGGGCAAGCGUUGUCCGGAAUUAUUGGGCGUAAAGCGCGCGCAGGCGGCGAAUUAAGUUUGGUGUUUAAGCCCGGGGCUCAACCCCGGUUCGCA